AAGUCGUAACAAGGUCUCCGUAGGUGAACCUGCGGAGGGAUCAUUCACAUGAUAUACUUUUAAACAAACUGUGAACUUUAUAAAUACUAUUCGUGUUUUUUAUCAGUUUUACUGUAUAAUAAACAUCGUCAUUCGAUUGAACAUAAGAUAGUUGGCUUGAAAUGUAACAAUUUCUUUCUCAGCUUUGAUUUGAUAGAACUCAACAUUUUAUCACUUCAACCAUAAAACAUAGAAACAACUCUAUGCCCUGGAUAUCUUGGUUCUC
rnacentral:misc_RNA from 1 species